rnacentral:misc_RNA from 1 species
GUUAUUGCACCAUCCUCCUCCCUGCACAAGAUUUUUGACAAAGUUUAGUUCUCAUGCGAGCACAUUAUUAAUUGAAUGGAUCCUUGGGACUCGAACCACCUUAUUAAGCAGAAAACUGCAUCAAAAAAACAAUUAUGCUAGUAAAAGGCUUCAAGGCAGCAAAUCCUAAAGAGACAGCUUAAAACAGAGUUGCAAGGCUUCUCAACCAGGGAAAUUCUUUUUUACCAUGUCUAAAACAGACUCUUUAAUGCCACAACAAAAUCAUUUAUGUCCAUUAUUAUUUUGUUUUUGCUGCGAAUGGAAAACCAAUACUCAACAAGGCAUUUAUCAUCUUCCAUUAAAACAUUUACCCAAGUGUUACUGUGACAUUUUUAUGAGUUCUUUGCUGGGUAACCGUGGUGGAAAAUGAAAAUCAAGUUUUGGAAAAUGUUGAUCAGAGAGAGGAACUCAUACUAAACAAGCUCUUGAAGUUCAAAUUGUAAGAGUAGAUAUAAUAAGGCAACUAGAGAUCAAGAAUAAUAUAAUGUUCUCAAUUCAGUAAUGGAAGACAACCUCUAAUUGAAUGAGCCAACUAUUAGCUCC